ACGCUCGACACCUACGGGAGGCAGCAGUGGGGAAUAUUGGGCAAUGGGCGCAAGCCUGACCCAGCAACGCCGCGUGAAGGAAGAAGGCUUUCGGGUUGUAAACUUCUUUUAUUAAGGACGAAGCAAUGACGGUACUUAAUGAAUAAGCUCCGGCUAACUACGUGCCGGCAGCCGCGGUAAUCUGAGCGGGCUGGCAAGGC
rnacentral:rRNA from 1 species